UUCCAUUGUCGUUCUCCACCUACUCCUGAUAAAAUCACACCAAAAUGGACUUUCCCUCUUCCCUUGCAGAAAACCCUAGAGAAAAGUGACUGAAAUCUCAACACCGUGGACCACUCUACCUCUCACGCAACUCUCUACAUCUCUCACGCAGUCCGUCUCUCAAGCAGCUCUCUCUGGCUCUCACGCAGCACUCUCCAUCUCUCACGCAACUCUCUCUGUCCCAGUUAUGAAAAAUGUCAAUAAUACUCCAACAAUCACCUCCAAUGACGAUGAUAGAGAAGAAUUGAUUCUCGCAACAUUGUUGAUAGCACAAUAUCAUUAUUCUAGCAAUCUAUACACUAGAGAACCACGCAGGAAGAAUGCAUUCACAAGGGUAGCAUGGGUACAUGAGGUGUUGCCUAGGCAUGCAAACCUUUGUUAUGAAUAAUUUGGCAUGGAACGACACGUGUUUUUAAAUUUAUGCCUACUAACGAGACAUCGUGGUUGGUUACAAGACAGUCGUAUUAUUAGGGUAGAUGAGCAGUUGGCAAUGUUCAUGUUUAGAAUAAUAGGAAUAGGUCCUACCAAUAGAGCAGUUGAGGAGAGAUUCCAGCAUUCAUGAUAGACUGCCAGCUAUUACUUUGGCGAAGUGUUACAAGGGGUGCUUAAGCUUUCUAAGGAGUAUAUCAAAGCCCCAUCAUUCAAUGAGAUUCCUAUGGAAAUAAUUGCAAACAACAAACGGUGGCCAUAUUUUAAGGAUUGUAUUGGUGCUAUAGAUGGUACACAUGCUACUGCUAUAGUUCCCAAGGGAAAACAUAUCCCAUAUCGAGGACGAAAGGGAAUAACAACUCAAAAUAUGUGUGCCUGUUUGUUUGACAUGAAAUUCACAUUUGCAUACGCGGAAUGGGAAGGCAGUGCAAAUGAUUGUCGUGUAUUCAAUAGAGUCCUAGAAGAUCCUACCUUAUGAUUUUCUCAUCCUCCCCAAGAUAUAUCAAUGUCCAAACUAUCAUGUAUGCAAAUUACUGCUAUGUAUCAUUUAAUAUCUUGCUUUAUCAUAUUGUAGGGAAGUAUUAUAUUGUGGACUCGGGAUAUGCGAGUAGGAAUGGAUAUUUGACACUAUUUAAAGAAGAAAUAUAUCAUAUACCAGAUUAUGAUGGUGGAAAAAGACAACCCAGAAGUACUAAGGAAUCAUUUAAUUAUAGACAUUCUUCUUUAAGGAAUCAUAUUGAACGUUGUUUUGGGAUUUUAAAAUCAAGAUUCCCUAUUUUAAGAAACAUGCCUCAAUUUUCACUUAGUUACCAAAUUUCUAUUGUGAUAGUUUGUUGUGGAUUUCAUAACUACAUGAAAUCUAAACAAAUAACAUUUGCACUUUUUCAAGAAUUUGAAGAAGACAAUGCUCUCGAUGCUAAUGAAGAGAGAGUCAGGGUAGUCAAUGUUCGUGAAGAAUAAGAAGAUGGUGACGUUGCUAGUAUUUCUACUAUAAUUCAUCAGGGUAGUCAAUGUACACGAGGAAGACAGAUGAAUGAGCUACGAAUACAAAUUGCAAAUCAGAUGGCAGUAGAUAAGGGUUACCUCCUGAUUUGAGUGUUUAUGUAAUAAAGACACCUAUUUGUAGCUAUGAUUUUUAUUUUGUAAUGCCGAUAAACUUGAGUGGGAAACUUUUUUUUUUAUUAAGCUAAAUGUGGAAACAUUUUAUG